rnacentral:rRNA from 1 species
UACGGGGGGGGCAAGCGUUGUUCGGAAUUACUGGGCGUAAAGGGUCUGUAGGUGGCCAACUAAGUCAGACGUGAAAUCCCUCAGCUUAACUGGGGAACUGCGUCUGAUACUGGUUGGCUUGAGUGCAGGAGAGGAAUGCGGAAUUCCAGGUGUAGCGGUGAAAUGCGUAGAUAUCAGGAGGAACACCGGUGGCGAAGGCGGGUCUCUGGGCCGAUACUGACGCUGAGGAGCGAAAGCGUGGGGAGCGAACAGG